GGUCAAGCUAAUAAGGGCUAACGGUGGAUACCUAGGCACACAGAGGCGAAGAAGGACGUGGUUACCGACGAUAUGCUCCGGGGAGUUGGAAGCAAACUAAGAGCCGGAGAUUUCCGAAUGGGGCAACCCUAAAGACUACCUGCUGAAUAUAUAGGCAGGAAAGAGCUAACCCAGCGAACUGAAACAUCUUAGUAGCUGGAGGAAAAGAAAUCAAAAGAGAUUCCCUCAGUAGUGGUGAGCGAAAGGGGAAAAGCCUAAACCAAAGGAUUAAUCCUUUGGGGUAGUGGGACAGCAAUAUCGAAUCUAGAGGUUAGACGAAGCAGCUAAAUACUGCACCAAAGAAGGUGAAAGUCCUGUAGUCGAAAACUAAAGGAUAGAAGCUGAAUCCCGAGUAGCAUGGGGCACGAGGAAUCCCAUGUGAAUCAGCGAGGACCAUCUCGUAAGGCUAAAUACUACUGUGUGACCGAUAGUGAACCAGUACCGCGAGGGAAAGGUGAAAAGAACCCCGGAAGGGGAGUGAAAUAGAACAUGAAACCGUUAGCCUACAAGCAGUGGAAGUCCGAUUAAACGGAUGACCGCGUGCCUGUUGAAGAAUGAGCCGGCGACUUAUAGGCACUGGUAGGUUAAGGCGAGAAUGCUGGAGCCCAAGGGAAACCGAGUCUGAAGAGGGCGAAAAAUCAGUGUUUAUAGACCCGAACCCUGGUGAUCUAACCAUGGCCAGGAUGAAGCUUGGGUAACACCAAGUGGAGGUCCGAACCGACUGAUGUUGAAAAAUCAGCGGAUGAGUUGUGGUUAGGGGUGAAAUGCCAAUCGAACCAGGAGCUAGCUGGUUCUCCCCGAAAUGUGUUUAGGCGCAGCGGUAAUGAAUAUACCUGGGGGGUAAAGCACUGUUUCGGUGCGGGCUGGGAGACCGGUACCAAAUCGAGACAAACUAAGAAUACCCAGGGCACACAUUGCCAGUGAGACAGUGGGGGAUAAGCUUCAUUGUCAAGAGGGAAACAGCCCAGACCACCAGCUAAGGUCCCCAAAUCAUCACUAAGUGAGAAAGGAGGUGAGAUUGCAUAGACAACUAGGAGGUUUGCCUAGAAGCAGCCACCCUUGAAAGAGUGCGUAAUAGCUCACUAGUCAAGCGAUCUUGCGCCGAAAAUGAACGGGGCUAAGUGAUGUACCGAAGCUGUGGGAUUAAGGAAUUAAUCGGUAGGGGAGCGUUCCGUAGUAGGAAGAAGCAGUAGCGGUAAGCAGCUGUGGACGAGACGGAAGUGAGAAUGUCGGCUUGAGUAGCGAAAACAUUGGUGAGAAUCCAAUGCCCCGAAACCCUAAGGGUUCCUCCGGCAGGUUCGUCCGCGGAGGGUUAGUCGGGACCUAAGGCGAGGUCGAAAGGCGUAGUCGAUGGACACAGGGUGAAUAAUCCCUGACUAAGAUGUGGGAGCAUGGCGAGGGACGCAUGAAAGAUAACCAUACCCUAAUUGGUUUGGGAGGGGUUUACGAACUCCGCAUGGUGAAGGAUAGUGUCAAGAAAAGCUCGUCAUGUGAUGAAAGCAUCAUACCCGUACCCGAAACCGACACAGGUAGGGAGGUUGAGAAUACCAAGGGGCGCGAGAUAACUCUCUCUAAGGAACUCGGCAAAAUGGCCCCGUAACUUCGGAAGAAGGGGUGCCCACGAAAGUGGGUCGCAGUGAAGAGAUCCAGGCGACUGUUUACCAAAAACACAGGUCUCCGCUAACUCGAAAGAGGACGUAUGGGGGCUGACGCCUGCCCAGUGCCGGAAGGUUAAGGAAGUUGGUCAGGGGUUCGCCCUGAAGCUGACGACCGAAGCCCCGGUGAACGGCGGCCGUAACUAUAACGGUCCUAAGGUAGCGAAAUUCCUUGUCGGGUAAGUUCCGACCCGCACGAAAGGCGUAACGAUCUGGAUGGUGUCUCAGAGAGAGACUCGGCGAAAUAGGAAUGUCUGUGAAGAUACGGACUGCCUGCACCUGGACAGAAAGACCCUAUGAAGCUUUACUGUAGCCUGGAAUUGUGUUCGGGCUUGGCUUGCGCAGGAUAGGUGGGAAGC
rnacentral:rRNA from 1 species